CGACCUCAGGGUGCCCAGGUAACCACUCCUGGGAGCAGUGGGGAACCGUCGGAUGCUUCAACUCUUGAGAGCUGGGCUCUAAGCAUCCGCCUUAGCUGCCAACUUGGCCAAAGGCUAUGCGAGCAGUUUCCCGUUGACGGGCAAUGCAUCUUUCCAACCUGAGCGAGUGGGUGUGUGUGCAAAGAUGGUGCGAGUCACGGAUCUGCGCAGGAAGGGUGACUUUAAGGGAUUAGCAUGGCCAGGUAUGCACACAAGGCACCUGCUGGCAAUGCCUUGGUGGGGAGCGGGCAGUGCACACAAGAGGUACUGGAGGGAGAGGCGCGCGGGAAGAACAGGCGCGCACAAUGGCUGCAGAUCCACCUGUGGAUCGCUGAAGAUUCCUGCUGAGGGUUGAGGCUGCUGGGCUGGAGGACUGUAUGGUCCAUGCAUUGUAAUGUCCCCUUCUCUCCCUGGCCCGGAGCCCCAAGAGCUAUCCGGACUCUCUCCAAGACCUGGUUCUGGCCCAGCAAAGAGGUCUCGGCAGGGGAGCAGGAUUCCCGGCCCAGCAGCUGGCUCAGGAGGUGACAGCUUUGGGAUUCGCAUCUGAGCAUCCUCCUACUCUUCUCCUGGGAACUCUGUUGGGGAGGGUUGCUCAGAACAGAAGUGCCUGGGACGCCCAGAUCCUGCUGGAGUGGCAGCUGGGGUGAUGGCCAGGGCAGGCUGGGAGGGACAUACUUUCCAUAGGACCCAGUGCUUUCAUCUCCGUGCAACUGACCAAGAGAAACCAAACCCAAACUCCUUCCUUUACACAGACCUAUUUGAGGGAGGCUGGGUAUUGUUUGUGUAUUUCAACCUAACAAGAUUUUGAGAUAGUUGGAAUGCAGAAGGAGACAGGAGGACUCAAGUGUCCUGUCUUUUGCAAAAAUGUCAAACGUAGC
rnacentral:lncRNA from 1 species